rnacentral:lncRNA from 12 species
GGGACAGAAAGGAAGAGCAUCCAGACGGAGGGAGCAACGGGUGCAAGGACAGGCAAAGAUGCUAGAAGUUGGGAAAUAAUCACUUUGAGCCUUAUUAUUAACCAUGUGCAUUCUUAAAGUACACUGCGUCAUGAAAAUCUCUUGAACACAGAAAGAAGUGUAAUAAAAGCAAAGAGGAGGGACUUGGCCAAUAAGGAGGUCAGAACCAGGGAUGAAUGUGUCAGCGUUGAUUCUGCAUCACUCAGGCGGAGCCACUUUCCCUGGUGAACUGAGCCCCAUGCUGCAGAGAGGAUAAGCUCUUCAUAGCCGGUUCUCUUGUGGCUCCCACCCCCUCGCACUGAUCCCAGCUCAGACUAAGAAGUCAUGUGCUCCAACCUGUUGUCGCCACUCAUCCCCUUUCCGUGGAGUUAACGACAAUGAUUCCGUAGCACACCGGUCAGCCCAGGCUGCCAUACCCAGCACCACAGACCGAGACCCUAUACAACACACUUAUUUUCUCACAGUUAUGGAGGCUGGGAAGCCCGAGAUCCAGAUGCAGCUGAUUGAAUUUCUAGUAAGUGCUGUCUUUGUGGUUAUGUCCUCACGUGGCCGAGAAUAAGAGGGAGGGCGAGCACGAGCGUGAGGGAGCAUGAGCUCGUGUCUCCUCUCUAAGAGCAUUAAUCCCAUCAUGUGGAGCCCAUCCUCCUGAUCUCAUCUGACCCUAAUCACCUCCUGGAGGAGGCUGCACCUCCAGAUAACAUCACAUUGGUGGGGUAGGGCUUCAACAUAGGAAUGUAGGGGGGACACAAACACUGAGUCCCUAACACGGAGUCCCACCUCUGAUGAUGCAUCUGAAGUUGUCGACUGUAUGUUUUACCCACACAGUGGGGUGGGGAGAGGGCGUUUUAACAAGUCUGCAGCAGAGAAUGCACUUUGAGCUUUCCUGUUUCUAACCCUUAGAUCCAAAGCAAUGCACACUCCACACACUCCACACACUCUGAAGGCGUGAGUAUGGGCCUUUUGUGAACACUUCACAAGCCUUCACACUGCCAUGGGUGGCGUGUUGGACCCGGGCUUGUGGCAUUACCGUGUAACGCGGUUGCUGCUUUAUUCAUGGAAUCAGGGCAGGUUCCAGCACGAGAUAGAAGGCAAAGGUGAAGUAAAGGCAGAAGAAAGCUGAGCCUCUCAAAUACCUCUUAUAAAUAACACAAUUAUUCUGGCCAAACCACAUUCUCUUUAAACCCUGUAACUCCUAGUCAAAAAUCUCAAAUUAAACCUAGUUUAGAUUUUCUUUUUUUAUUUUUUAAAUUAAAAAAAAAUUAAAUACCAUCAUUCUACUCUCUUUUUAUGAUUUUUUUAGAUUCCACAUAUAAGUGAUAUCAUAUACUACUUGUCUUUUCUCUAACUUAUUUCACUUAACCUAAUGUUUUCAAGGUUUAUCUAUGUUGUUGCACAUGGCAGGAUGUCCUCCUUUUCAUGACCGAAUAAUAUUCCAUCGUAAAUAUAUAUCAUACCUUCUAUAUCCAUUCAUCUGUUGAUGAGCACUCAGCCUGUUUCCAUAUGUUGGGUCUUGUGAAUAGCGCUGCAAUAAACAGGGGAAUGCACGUGUCUUUGAGAUCCUG